rnacentral:rRNA from 1 species
UACGUAGAAAGCAAGCGUUGUCCGGAAUCAUUGGGCGUAAAGCGCGUGUAGGCGGCCCGGUAAGUCCGCUGUGAAAGUCGGGGGCUCAACCCUCGAAUGCCGGUGGAUACUGUCGGGCUAGAGUGCGGGAGAGGCGAGUGGAAUUCCUGGUGUAGCGGUGAAAUGCGCAGAUAUCAGGAGGAACACCAAUUGCGAAGGCAGCUCGCUGGAACGUAACUGACGCUGAGGCACGAAAGCGUGGGGAGCAAACAGG